rnacentral:pre_miRNA from 1 species
CAACUACUCCCUGUGUCCCAAAUUUCUUGUCUUAGAUUUGUCUAGAUACGGAUGUAUCUGUGACUUGAUACAUCUAUAUCUAGACAAAUCUAAGACAAGAAUUUUGGGACGGAGGGAGUACUUU